UCUACAAUUAUUUACUCUUCGUCUUAUUCGAAUUUUUUUGGGAUUGAUAUUUUUGUUUUUAUUAGAUGAUAAAUCAUGAAGAGUACUUUACAUGUGACUAAUUUUUUUUCUAAUUUCCUGAAAUUUUUUUAAAUAAAACGGAUGGUCAAACGGUAGACACGGAAACC
rnacentral:pre_miRNA from 1 species